ACCAGGGGGUGGCGCUAAAGAGCCACGCAGCGUCUGAAGGUGGCCAGCUCCAGUUUGAACAGGGAGAAAUAAUUCUGGUGUUUGCCGACACGCAGCAGGAAGGUCUGUUGAAAGGAGUUCGGGAGGAGAGCUGGCAACUCUACAGAGA